GAUGAAGAACGCAGCGAAAUGCGAUAAGUAAUGUGAAUUGCAGAAUUCAGUGAAUCAUCGAAUCUUUGAACGCACAUUGCGCCCGCCAGUAUUCUGGCGGGCAUGCCUGUUCGAGCGUCAUUACAACCCUCAGGCCCCCGGGCCUGGCGUUGGGGAUCGGCGGAGCCCCCCGUGGGCACACGCCGUCCCCCAAAUGCAGUGGCGGUCCCGCCGCAGCUUCCAUCGCGUAGUAGCUAACACCUCGCGACUGGAGAGCGGCGCGGCCACGCCGUAAAACACCCAACUCUUCUGAAGUUGACCUCGAAUCAGGUAGGAAUACCCGCUGAACUUAAGCAUAUCAAUAAGCGGA
rnacentral:misc_RNA from 1 species